rnacentral:rRNA from 1 species
GACGAACGCUGGCGGCGUGCUUAACACAUGCAAGUCGAACGGAAAGGCCCUGCUUUUGUGGGGUGCUCGAGUGGCGAACGGGUGAGUAACACGUGAGUAACCUGCCCUUGACUUUGGGAUAACUUCAGGAAACUGGGGUUAAUACCGGAUAGGAGCUCCUGCUGCAUGGUGGGGGUUGGAAAGUUUCGGCGGUUGGGGAUGGACUCGCGGCUUAUCAGCUUGUUGGUGGGGUAGUGGCUUACCAAGGCUUUGACGGGUAGCCGGCCUGAGAGGGUGACCGGCCACAUUGGGACUGAGAUACGGCCCAGACUCCUACGGGAGGCAGCAGUGGGGAAUAUUGCACAAUGGGCGGAAGCCUGAUGCAGCAACGCCGCGUGCGGGAUGACGGCCUUCGGGGUGUAAACCGCUUUCGCCGGUGACGAAGCGUGAGUGACGGUAAUGGGUAAAGAAGCACCGGCUAACUACGUG